rnacentral:rRNA from 1 species
AAGCUGGAAUCGCUAGUAAUCGCGGAUCAGAAUGCCGCGGUGAAUACGUUCCCGGGUCUUGUACACACCGCCCGUCACACCAUGGGAGGUCGGAAAUGCCCGAAGUCUGUGACCCAACCUUAGGGAGGGAGCAGCCGAAGGCAGGUCGGAUGACUGGGGUGAAGUCGUAACAAGGUAAC